rnacentral:tRNA from 1 species
GCCACGAUAGCUCAGUUGGUAGAGCAAUUCACUCGUAAUGAAUAGGUCGCCGGUUCGACUCCGGCUCGUGGCU